rnacentral:rRNA from 1 species
CCUACGGGAGGCAGCAGUGAGGAAUAUUGGUCAAUGGCCGUAAGGCUGAACCAGCCAAGUCGCGUGAAGGAAUAAGGAUCUAUGGUUUGUAAACUUCUUUUAUAGGGGAAUAAAGGUAUCCACGUGUGGAUAUUUGCAUGUACCCUAUGAAUAAGCAUCGGCUAACUCCGUGCCAGCAGCCGCGGUAAUACGGAGGAUGCGAGCGUUAUCCGGAUUUAUUGGGUUUAAAGGGUGCGUAGGUUGUUUUUUAAGUCAGCGGUGAAAGUUUGUGGCUCAACCAUAAAAUUGCCGUUGAAACUGGAAGACGUGAGUGUGUUUGAGGUAGGCGGAAUGCGUGGUGUAGCGGUGAAAUGCAUAGAUAUCACGCAGAACUCCGAUUGCGAAGGCAGCUUACUAAGCCAUAACUGACACUGAAGCACGAAAGCGUGGGGAUCAAACAGGAUUAGAUACCCGAGUAGUC